rnacentral:rRNA from 1 species
AUUGAACGCUGGCGGCAGGCCUAACACAUGCAAGUCGAACGAGUGGCGGACGGGUGAGUAAUGUCUGGGAAACUGCCUGCUGGAGGGGGAUAACUACUGGAAACGGUAGCUAAUACCGCAUACCAUCAUUGGGUCCCAGAUGGGAUUAGCUUGUUGGUGGGGUAACGGAUCACCAAGGCGACGAUCCCUAGCUGGUCUGACAGGAUGACCGGCAACACUGGACGUGGACAACGGUCCAGCCGCCUACGGGAGGCAGCAUUGGGGAAUAUGGCACAAGGGGCGCAAGCCUGAUGCAGCCAUGCCGCGGGUUUGAAGAAGGCCUUCGAGUUGUAAAGUCCUUUCAGCGGGGAGGCGUUACCCGCAGAAGAAGCACCGGCUAACUCCGUGCCAGCAGCCGCGGUAAUAC